rnacentral:rRNA from 1 species
UCGAACGCGAGCACUUGUGCUCGAGUGGCGAACGGGUGAGUAAUACAUAAGUAACCUGCCCUAGACAGGGGGAUAACUAUUGGAAACGAUAGCUAAGACCGCAUAGGUACGGACACUGCAUGGUGACCGUAUUAAAAGUGCCUCAAAGCACUGGUAGAGGAUGGACUUAUGGCGCAUUAGCUGGUUGGCGGGGUAACGGCCCACCAAGGCGACGAUGCGUAGCCGACCUGAGAGGGUGACCGGCCACACUGGGACUGAGACACGGCCCAGACUCCUACGGGAGGCAGCAGUAGGGAAUUUUCGGCAAUGGGGGAAACCCUGACCGAGCAACGCCGCGUGAAGGAAGAAGGUUUUCGGAUUGUAAACUUCUGUUAUAAAGGAAGAACGGCGGCUACAGGAAAUGGUA